GGCAUUGACCGGCUGUUUUUCAAACCCAGAAAAUAUUCUAAGUGUCCAGAAAUUUUUUUUUGGCAAAUGUCAGGCCUUAUAUCUCGGUCAUCUUUAAUGUGUUUUGUGUUCUAAAGGUUGUUAUGUGUAGCACGUUAUGUGGUAUUUAACCUCCAAAAAGAAUCAGGUCCAUAUAUAUUACAGAUUAAGAGUUAUUUAAGGUCAAAGUGGGUUGACCGGCAUUGACCAGAAAAUUCUGGGCAGCCCAGAAUUUUCUAAGUGUUAAUUUUUUCUGACAAGGUUUGACCAUACUUUAGAUGCUUGAUU
rnacentral:lncRNA from 1 species